UGAAAUCCCAAAGGGGAGUAGCGUCCGGAUAUUCCGGAAACAAAGUCGUCAAUUCAUGGAUCAUAUCCAUCGGCUUUGUUGGCAUGCCAAUCAUUCAUGUCUAGCAAGACCUUUGCCUUAUAU
rnacentral:misc_RNA from 4 species